rnacentral:rRNA from 1 species
ACCGGUGUUUAUGGCAGAGAGGCCCCACCCGUUCCCAUCCCGAACACGGAAGUUAAGCUCUUUUGCGCCUACGAUACUUGGACGGCAACGUCCCGGGAAAAUUGGUCAAUGCCGGUA